CCUACGGGAGGCAGCAGUGAGGAAUAUUGGUCAAUGGACGGAAGUCUGAACCAGCCAUGCCGCGUGCAGGAUGACGGCUCUGUGAGUUGUAAACUGCUUUUGUACGGGAAUAAUAGCUCGUACGUGUAGGGAGUUGAGUGUAUCGUACGAAUAAGGAUCGGCUAACUCCGUGCCAGCAGCCGCGGUAAUACGGAGGAUUCGAGCGUUAUCCGGAUUUAUUGGGUUUAAAGGGUGCGUAGGCGGUUGGAUAAGUUAGAGGUCAAAGGCCGGGGCUUAACCCCGUGCCCGCCUCUGAAACUGUUAGACUAGAGAGCGGAUGAAGCAGGCGGAAUGAGUAGUGUAGCGGUGAAAUGCUUAGAUAUUACGCAGAACACCGAUUGCGAAGGCAGCUUGCUAACCCGCAUCUGACGCUGAUGCACGAAAGCGUGGGUAGCGAACAGGAUUAGAUACCCCGGUAGUC
rnacentral:rRNA from 1 species